UACGUAGGGACCGAGCGUUGUCCGGAUUCAUUGGGCGUAAAGAGCUCGUAGGCGGCUGCUCAAGUCGAAUGUGAAAACUCGGGGCUCAACCCCGAGCCUGCAGUCGAUACGGGCAGACUAGAGUGCUGUAGGGGAGACUGGAAUUCCUGAUGUAGCGGUGAAAUGCGCAGAUAUCAGGAGGAACACCGGUGGCGAAGGCGGGUCUCUGGGCAGUAACUGACGCUGAGGAGCGAAAGCGUGGGGAGCGAACAGG
rnacentral:rRNA from 1 species